ACUUAGUACUCCAAACAACGGUAUUGGGUAAUGUAUACCUCCUUCGACAUCCUAAUAACUGGAUACAAGCCGAGUUCUGUUUUUGCAAUAUGGCUGUCGUUCCCGUAGGCAAUCUUAACCUAAGACUGGAAAAGGAUAUGGAAGGAAGUACUCAUGUGAUGUUUUCAGCUGGACUCUGAUGUCUGAAUGAUGGUGGUAUAACUAUUACAUCUUUGGCUGAGGAAGUGCCGUUACCUGUCAGAGAACCUAGUUAUGACAGUGAAUCUAUUAUGUGCCGUGCAACUAUCAAAUUUUGUAUUUUGAAAUAAAAGGAUGAGACUGUGGAUCAUUGUAACAGAGGGCAAUCCAUGCAAAGAACCAGAGCACACCCAGUGAGCCAAACAAAUAGAAGACACUUGGCCAUCCAAUUGACGAGUACUCUAUCAAGACUCCACUGAGGGCAGUACCAACUACUGUUCCUAUUUGAGAACCUGAAAAAGAAAUCCAAGAACCGUGAAGUUUUACCAAACCUCAAGUUAUAUAGCACACUUUUGAUUUAGUCACAGAUAUUAAAUUGGAGGAGAGGGUAUCAACUGUGACUCAUAAUGAAUUAUUUCUAUGCUCAAAAUAUUUCAUUUAGAAAUACUGGCCUUUCUGGUGCUCAUUUAUAAGAUAUUUGGCAAGAUCAGUGAAGUAAACCAUUUCUGCCAUCUGUCAACAGUUAAUGGCAUUCACUCUCCUCAUAUUUUAUUUGUCUGUACUUUAUAUUAUGAUGCUUUUUCAGUAGCUCAGACUAUAUGGUUUUGAAUGAGAGGAUGGAAAUGAAUUUUGAAUUAUAAAGAUGUAGAAGGAAGCGGUUAUGGCCUAAUUGAAAGUGCUAUCCUGGCAUUUGCCUGGAGGGACUGAGUAAAACCAUGUCAACCUAAGACAUUAAUUACAUCUAUGUGACUAAUGUUUUGCCUUAAUACCCUGAACUUCCAAUUGUACACAUUGGUGAACUAUAAAUAAUAGUAUAUUUUGAAUAAUAUGCAUGUUGUCUGCAUUUAAGUAAAUAACCCGAUGGAGUACAGUCUCCAUCUUUUAUGGAACCUGGAGGUUCAUUACUGUGUUCAAAGCAGCCAAUCACUGAGCCAGUUGAAUACAUUGCACUAGCUAAAAGCCCAUUUUUCUAAGAACAGUUUUAAUAUUUCACUCCCAUCUAUACCUAGAUCAUAUAAGUGAUCUCUCUUCCAUUUGGCUAAGAAUAUGUUUUGGGGGUAAAUUAAGGCAUCGUUAGGGUAUGGAAUUUGUCAUCUAUGAUAGGUUAGAAGUGUCUCUUAAAGAAUUUUAAGUGAAAAAGAAAAGACUUUGAUUUUAUCACUGUAAUGUCAAUAUUUCUACAUUCAAUUAAAGCUGUUCCUUCUUCAUGUACCACUGCUAUUUUUAUCAAGAUGCAUGAGUGCAACUAGCAAAUAUAUAAUCAUCUAUGGUGCUUCGGCCUAUUUUCGAGCCAUGACCUCCCCACUUAGGAGCUUUCUUGGUCCUUGAAGCGUGCAUUUGUGAGUAGUAAGUGACCAGCCCACUGACCAUCUAGCAGUAAAUCAGGAGACUUUGGUGAAAAAUGGCCACUGAAUUUUGCUUACAAAACAUCUUAUAUCAUGCUCGUAAGAUUCUUUUACAUGCCGUAAAUCUACGACGUGGGACCACCGGCUUUUCUUCCCCUCUGAAGGAAGUUGUGCCACGGAUUUUUAUCGCCCUUAAAACUCCAUCAACCUCGGCCGGGAUUGUACCUGCGAACCGUGGGUGCAGUGACGAACACACUAACCACUAGUUCACUGAGGGCAACCUAGCAAAUAUAUGUUCUCAUAAAUUAAAACUCACCAGAAAACACAAAAGAACCAAGGAUUCCUCUCUGCUGGGGUGGUACCCAGCGUGCUAAUAUGGAAUUCAAUGCUGGGAAUGUUGUUCCCUGUAAUCGCAUCAAAAUACUAAAUUACUCAAAAAAAAACUAUUAUCACUGUGCGUGUGCUUUAAGUGAAGCAAGUAGACAGGAGGGGAGGGAAAACAGAUUACAAUCCAAUAUAUAUGAGGUGCAAAUAUGAAAUUCCUUGCAUUCUGAACUUUGGCACAUGAUUUAUGUGUGAUCAGUCACACACUCUGGCUAUUUUAUAACUGGGGAAAGAGCCCCAGGUAUUUUGUAGACAGGAGGCUGAAUGGACCCUAGAGUCAGCCUGGAAAUGAUGGUGGUCGCUGUUUCUGCAUCUUUGCCAUCCAGACCAUAGUGAAUUUAAAUACUGCAGCAGAGAAAUGCAUCAAAAUAUUCAGAAAACCUUCAAGAGAAGAGACCACUUGGAAGGCCUUUGUGUAGAUAGGAGAAUAAUAUUAAAAUUAAUAUCAAAGAAAUAGGGCAUGACGAUGUGGCCUGGAUUUAUCUGGCUCAUGAAAGGGUCCAGUGAUUGGCUUUAGUGAAUAUGGUAAUGAGCCUUCCUGUACUAUAAAAGCCAUAGCAUUUCUUGACCAACUGAAGGACUUUGCUUUAUGAGGUUAGUUGAGGUUUAUAUGUUUUUGUGCAAAGUCAUAACCUAUUUAACAUAAAGAAACAGUUAUAAUUUAACCUUUUUAAGCCUGAAUUUUGUACAAAUGGUAUUUAAAAUUUUAUUUCUUACUUUACAGAAAAAACAACACAUUCCUGUUACAAGGAUUAAUUGGUUGGUGUUUAAGGAAAUGACUAUUAUUUGCUCUAAGAACAAUAUGGAACCCAUACAUAAUUUUUGUGGGUAGGUUACAUAGUGAAUGUUAAUGUUAAAGUAUGUGAUAUAUACAGGUUUGAUCAUACCUUAAAAAGUUCAAAGUAAAGGAUUUGUAUUCUGAAAAUUACAACAUAUUGAUGUGCAUUCAUUUUUGGACAAAAUAAAAUUUAUACAUUUCAAUUAAUUUUGUGAAAAAUUUAGAUCCCGUGUGUGUUGCAGUGUAAGUUAAUGUGUGACUUGCCUUGCUCUGGGUUGAAAACUUUGCUUUAAAAAGUAAAAAAUUCCAAGUUCCUUGAAUUUAACUGUACAGAGGUUUUAUAAUACCAUGUACAAUUACAGAAAAUGAACAGACAUGAAUUGGGAGUGGGUUCAUGUUUAUCUAACAAGGGACAGAACAGAAUUCUAAUAUUUACAUUUAAUGGUUAUAAAAUAUUAACAGAACAGGGACACUUAGAGGAACCAAAAAGAACUUGAUCCAGUACUAUUAACAACCAUGGAGGAGAAAUUAAACUAGUAUCCAAGAGACUCGAUACGUUUAUAAUUGACAUAAGACGUGUGUUUGUGUGCGUGUCCAAGAUAAAGAGGAAAAAUAGAAAACUCACUUCACCCAGACCUUCCAAGAAACGCACUGCAAUGAGCCAACCUGCACCCCCUUGAGUGGCUGCCAGUGGGAUAGCGUAUGUGCGCAAGCCGAAGCUUGCAAUUUGUUUGGCGCCAACCCAGUCUCUUGCAAAAAAGUGAUAUCAAUAAGUUUCCGCGGUAUUAAAUCAACCGGAGCGUGAAGCUGAUCUCUCACCAUGUGCUACGGAGUUGAAGAAUGCGUGGAGCUGUGCCUUCAUUUCGUAUGAGUCUCAACGCAAAGCUACUUUACUCAUCCUUUUACCGAGGUAAGUUGUUAUGAGACCAGGCCUUGUAGAUGCUAAGUUACUGUAUACUGUGUAAUGCAAUUUUGAGGUGUCUGGUGUGAGCUUGACACAGGACAAGGAGAUGAAACUGUUUGUUCCAAGUGUUGAAAUAUUGCUGAAGACGUCUUAAUAAUGCAAGAGUUUAGAAGUUUCUCAUUGCUGAAAAACAAAACAGCACUGGGAACACAAGGUUAACAUUUACAUAGAACAUUUACAGUUGAUUAUAUUCCAUGAAGAUGCGAUCAUUCUUCAACUAGUAAAUAUGAGUUCAUCAUCAGUUUGUUCUUAUGUGAUUAUGUUUUCAUUUUAAUAAUCCUGCUUAUGAAGUAUUGUAAAAGUGAUUAUAAUUCCAUGCAGAUACGAUAACUCUUCUGCAAGAAAAUGCACUUCUAAUGUAAGUUAUUUCUACAUGAUUUUAUUUUAAUUAACCUGUUUAUGAUUAACGUGGACCAGAAAAAUCUGGUUCUGUAUCAAGAAAAUGUUAAAUUGUUUUUUGUAAGUGAAAUGUGACAAAUUAUGACAACAGUAUUAUAUUUACAUUGAGUCAUCAUUUAGAAGCAACCAGAUGUACCGGUCAAAGGCUUUUGUGAUUUUACUGUAAUUCCAGGCAAGUUCUGGGGAUAUUAAUGGUUCUCAAAUUGUGUUAACUGCACAGUCCCAAUGUACAACUGAACUUGAGCUUUCCAGUUGUACUACCAUUUCAUGCCAACACCCAAAACUGAGAUGAGUGACAGCAAAGAACUUUGGGUGGGUUACAUAAUGCCUCGAACCACAUUCUACUGACUUGCCACUGUCUGGUGAAAGCAACAAAAUUGUUACACUGUGUUUAUUUCAUAACUUGUUAUUUUAAUUUAUGUAUAAGGCAUCUUUUUUGUGGUACUUUUAUAUUUGUCUUUUACUGAAUAUUAAAAUUAAACAGGUUUUAACUCUCAUAGAAUUUAUUCUGAGGAAACGUUUCCUCACGUGUCUGUUUGAAAAUGAAAAUAUUUGUAUUCAUUUUCUUGUAAAUGGAGAAGUGGCUAUAGCUUCUGAAUACCCAUACACCACGACGUCUCAUUGGUCGUGCGGCAAUGAUAAUUGUUUAUGGUUAAUUUAUAAAUUUUCACCAGCAGUUCACACAGCUUAGUCUCAUGUCAUGGUACCAUUAUUUGUUUAAUCAGCCAGCCAUAAAAUUUCUAGGGAAUAUAAAGCAAAAUAGCAACACUUAGGUCUUUAUAUAAUGGGCAGUGAGUUUAUUGCUUCA